AUAUUCUUCAUUGCCAAUUACUGUUUUCUUUCUCAAUUCUCUAGGAUUUAACAAAAUGUUUCUCCCUAAGACCACCGAGCUCAUUCUAAUGCUGCUUCUUGUUGCAGUUCUUCUGCUUGUUUCCUCAGAGGUGGCUACUGCUUUGCUGGAUAAUGCAGCAUAUCAACUUAAACUUGGACGAAGGGCUCUUCUAUCUACCUACAAUACAACUGGCAGAGGAGGGUACAACUAAGUGCUAGUUAUCUUAUGGAUGCAUUAAAUUAAAUAAGUAAAUAAGAUAGAUGAAUAAAAGGAAUAUCUAGCAUGUAUGUAGGCUACGGGUUGGAACUAUACUAUUCUCCCUCUUGUAAAUGCUUGCAAUCAGAGCCAUGGGCGGCGGAUGCAUGUGCUUGCGUUUCAGGUCUACGUAAAUGCCAUGCUAGAGAUAGAAAGAUAUGGUAUCGAGAAUAUGCUCUUAUUGUAUGAUCAAUAUGCUAAAUAAAGGUAUUCAUUCUUGA